rnacentral:rRNA from 1 species
CCUACGGGUGGCAGCAGUGAGGAAUAUUGGGCAAUGGGCGCGAGCCUGAACCAGCCAAGUAGCGUGAAGGAUGACUGCCCUACGGGUUGUAAACUUCUUUUAUAAAGGAAUAAAGUGAGGCACGUGUGCCUUAUUGUAUGUACUUUAUGAAUAAGGAUCGGCUAACUCCGUGCCAGCAGCCGCGGUAAUACGGAGGAUCCGAGCGUUAUCCGGAUUUAUUGGGUUUAAAGGGAGCGUAGAUGGGUUGUUAAGUCAUUUGUGAAAGUUUGCGGCUGAACCGUAAAAUUGCAAUUGAUACUGGCAGUCUUGAGUACAGUUGAGGUAGGCGGAAUUCGUGGUGUAGCGGUGAAAUGCUUAGAUAUCACGAAGAACUCCGAUUGCGAAGGCAGCUUACUAAACUGUCACUGACAUUGAUGCUCGAAAGUGUGGGUAUCAAACAGGAUUAGAUACCCGUGUAGUC